rnacentral:rRNA from 1 species
UGGGGAAUAUUGCACAAUGGGCGCAAGCCUGAACCAGCCAUGCCGCGUGCAGGAGGACGGCCCUAUGGGUUGUAAACUGCUUUUGCAGGGGGACAAACCCCGGUACGUGUACCGGGUUGAGUGUACCUUGAGAAUAAGGAUCGGCUAACUCCGUGCCAGCAGCCGCGGUAAUACGGAGGAUCCGAGCGUUGUCCGGAAUUAUUGGGCGUAAAGCGCGCGCAGGCGGUCCUUUAAGUCUGAUGUGAAAGCCCACGGCUCAACCGUGGAGAGUCAUUGGAAACUGGGGGACUUGAGUGCAGGAGAGGAGAGCGGAAUUCCACGUGUAGCGGUGAAAUGCGUAGAGAUGUGGAGGAACACCAGUGGCGAAAGGCGGCUUUCUGGACAGUAACUGACGUUGAGGCACGAAAGCGUGGGGAUCGAACAGGAUUAGAUACCC